rnacentral:lncRNA from 1 species
CCGCGGUUGGAUAUUUGGGGUACAAUUCAUUUUAAACAAUCUCUACAGUAGUUCUUGUGGCCAGGAAACAUUAGCUCCUCCUCAUUAGAAUGCUGUUUGGCACAUGAUUGUUUCUGUGAUUACAUGCUCCCUACCUGUCAUCUUAAAUAUCAGCAGCUCCCAUAUGAAAGCUGAGGGAAUGAAGAUUUCUACAAGACGACAUGCAUCAUCAGCCCAAAUCCGAUGGGACGCCACAGCAUGCUGUCAUCUGUUCAGAUAGAGUGACAUUUGUCUGGAAUCUGCACAAUCCUGAUCUCACCCUCUGACGGGACACCCACGGACCCUUCGCAGACUUUCUGAUGCAUAUUACAAUUGCAAAUCGCUUUGCCUGAUAGAGUUUCUGAGGAACAACUAACCUGGUUAGUGGCAUUAGGUCUUUGGAAGAUAUAAUGCUUUUGCAUCUAAAUGAGAGAGAG